rnacentral:tRNA from 2 species
GUGGGCGUAGCUCAAUCGGUAGAGCAUUGGAUUGUGGUUCCAACGGUUGUGGGUUCAAGUCCCAUCGCCCACC